rnacentral:lncRNA from 1 species
UAGUUAUUGGAGCACAUGUAUACGGACUAACAAUCCAUCUCCGUCUGAACGUAGCAACCAUUCUGUGCUGGUAGUCGUCGUUGUUUUACUGAACAUAAACCUAUUGCAGUCUAAGGAUUCUCUUUCAUUAGAUUACGUGCAGUAAAAUUUACAAUUGACACCAACCAACCGAAAAGAUUAAUGUUUUUCCCACUGUGUAAUUCGACACUCUUAAUUUAGUGCAAGAGAAGGAAAAGAAAGAAGUAAAAUAAAAAUAAUCCAAUAAACAAAUAGGAGAGACCCUGUAUUUUAAAUAAAAAGGAACCUACAUCUUGACCAUUAAGCUGACAAGGAAUAGUACCAAGUGAGAACCUGUUUGGUUCAAAAUUUUGAUUUGAAAAUUGACCACUGAAAUAGACAAAUAAUUAUCACUAUGACUUACUUUAAAUAGUGAUUCACCAGAAGCAGUGAAGGCCCGGGACAUAGGGGCACGAUCUCAUGGACAAAGAUUAUGGAUCAAAGACAUAUGGGCACGAAUUGUUGAGGGCAUUAUUGUUCGGUAAGUAACAUAUUUGUUUCGUCUGCACAUGAUGCUACCUGAUGCCGUUUAAUAUAAGCGUUUUUUUUUGGAGAAAAAUGUUGAGGAAUGUUUUUUUUGGAAUGGUCAAUGUACUUGAGUAUAGCUAGAACAAGCAUAGAUUCCCCAACUUUUCUGUCAUGUUUUCACAUGAUUUUUUUAGUUGAUGGUUAGAUCUUGUAUGGAGAUUCUCAAAUUGUCCCAACUUAUUCAAGGAAUGGGGUUGCAGCGUACAACACACAAGAAGUAUGUGGCAUCAUUGAUUCUUUCCAUGAUGUCAAACACACCAUGAAGAGAGCACAACAACUUCCACAUUUGGAUGCCACGCACCAAAUUGAUGAGCAAACAUUACAAGCCACGACACUGCA